UGGAAGGGCCAUCGCUCAACGGAUAAAAGGUACUCCGGGGAUAACAGGCUGAUACCGCCCAAGAGUUCAUAUCGACGGCGGUGUUUGGCACCUCGAUGUCGGCUCAUCACAUCCUGGGGCUGAAGUAGGUCCCAAGGGUAUGGCUGUUCGCCAUUUAAAGUGGUACGCGAGCUGGGUUUAGAACGUCGUGAGACAGUUCGGUCCCUAUCUGCCGUGGGCGCUGGAGAACUGAGGGGGGCUGCUCCUAGUACGAGAGGACCGGAGUGGACGCAUCACUGGUGUUCGGGUUGUCAUGCCAAUGGCACUGCCCGGUAGCUAAAUGCGGAAGAGAUAAGUGCUGAAAGCAUCUAAGCACGAAACUUGCCCCGAGAUGAGUUCUCCCUGAGACUUUAAGUCUCCUGAAGGAACG
rnacentral:rRNA from 1 species